rnacentral:tRNA from 1 species
GCCAACGUAGCUCAGUCGGUAGAGCAGCGGUCUUGUAAACCGCCGGUCGCCGGUUCGAAUCCGGCCGUUGGCUCCA